AAGCCCCCAUUACUGUACAACAUCAUUAACCAAAAAUCCAUUCGAUAUGUUGUAAGACAAAAAAGCAUCUCAGACGGGAGAAAAAAAAAAAAAAAAAAAAUAAUCAGAAGAAAAACAAAAGGUCUUUCCACGAAAAGUGGAAAGACCUAAAAAUAAUCAGAAGAAAAACAAAAGGUCUUUCCACGAAAAGUGGAAAGACUUAAUA
rnacentral:lncRNA from 1 species